UACAGAGGUCUCAAGCGUUUGUUCGGAUUCAUUGGGCGUAAAGGGUGCGUAGGUGGCGCCGUAAGUCAGGUGUGAAAUUUCGGAGCUUAACUCCGAAACUGCAUUUGAUACUGCGGUGCUUGAGGACUGGAGAGGAGACUGGAAUUCAUGGUGUAGCAGUGAAAUGCGUAGAGAUCAUGAGGAAGACCAGUGGCGAAGGCGGGUCUCUGGACAGUUCCUGACACUGAGGCACGAAGGCCAGGGGAGCAAACGGG
rnacentral:rRNA from 1 species